UAUUGCAAAAACGUGUAGUAAUACAACAUGAUCUAGUCGACGUUUCAGUCCACGAAGGACUUUUUUAUCAGGUCUUGAUAAAAGUCCUUCGUGGACUGAAACGUCGACUAGAUCAUGUUGUAUUACUACACGUUUUUGCAAU
rnacentral:miRNA from 1 species